CUCAUUCUUGUUUUGAAGAUCUUAAGGUUAUUCGUAGGCCUUUUCUACAAGCCUACAGUUGAGCUUCGUGAGUUAAGAAACUUAGGUAAUCCUGCAAAUACUAGACAAAAUUGAUUUCUUGAAUCUGGUUGAUUUAUAGUAUAGAGUACCUAUUAAUACUUAUGCAGCCUUUUUCCAGUUGUCAUCUAUGCAAAAAAGAAUAGAUUUUCUUCUAUUGAUCUUUCAUACUCCAAUUCGAAAUCCAUAAAUUUGCAUUUAGAAGGUCCUAAAUGGAAUAGUGGGUUCGAUUUUCUACUGAUUGUCAUAUUUAUGUUUAGAUGACUUGAAGUUUAGAAGUUGGCGUGAGCUUUGUGUACAUUACACAACAAUUGUCUGAGGUCUACUAGGUUAUUAUAGGCAUAUAUAAGUAAAGUAAGUGUUGAGACCUUAUAAGAAUGCAACCUAGGGAGGGAUGUUUUUAGCCCAGGGAAAAUUUUCACUAGAGAUGUCACUGUCUUCCGAGACAAACUGUAUUGGAUUUCUUAUGUUUAUGUAAAGCAACUUGGGAUGUUGGAUCCAAUUGAUCUUAAGAUCCAAAGCCAAUCAGUAAACAGUUGAAGUUGCCAGCUUGGAGGCCCUGCAGGCUGUUUGAGUGUAUGGAUCUUGUCCUUUUAGAUUUAUGAAGAAGUGUCUAAUGCGCUGAGAAGCUCGGAUAGUUCAUAGGAAAGGAAAGGAAAGUAUCUCAAUAUGUAUGUAAGUGGUAAAAGCUAAGCACCUACAUAUUUAUAAUCUGUUAAGUUGCUUCGUGUGUCUUUUUUAUGUGUAUAUGUAUACGUUUCUAACCUUCUUAGCUUAAGUUAUCAACUACCAAAAAAAAGCCUCAGGUAAAAGCCACUAGUAAAAUAGUGAUCACAGUAUAUUCUGUAGUGAAACUCAUAGACCCAAUCCUUGCUCUGUCACUCAAAAAUGGUGGCACAACACCCUUUCUGAUAGGGAUCAACCUAGUGCAGCAGUACUAGAAUUCAUAACCUACAGGCUAGUCACUCAUAUAUUAUGACCUUUUAGAUAAAUUAGUAUUUUGCUCUCAACUUAAAAGGUCCCUCACUUUGAAUGUCUUGUGCAUCUCUUAUCAUGAUGAUCAGAAAGGAAAUUCACACAUCUAAGGGUCAUAAGCUAAAGUAUCCCAAAGGGUGGCAAAUCUAUUUCAUUUCUAUCAGGGUCAGGAAUUGCAAGGCAUUCCCUUAUCGUAGGAGAAUCAAGAUGUGAUUGAGUUAAAUGAACACUGAAAAUGCACCAUUAACUCUAUAAUGCCUUUAAGAUGUCACUUGCUUAGCUGUGGAACAUAGGGAAGCACGAGACGUGAUCCAGAAGUUCAAGUAAAAGGGUGUGGCAUGUAUAUCCUUAGUUGGGAUAUCUGGUGUUGGGAAUCAUGCAUGCCCAAAUUUUAGGCAGUUAAAAUAGAAACUUUAGUUGUCUUUCAAAUUGUAAACCAUAUUAGGAAGUAUAAGCAAUGAAUUUGAUUAGGAUGAUGUUAUCAGCACCUCAAUUUCUAAGUCAACGAUAUCAGAUUUGUUAAUCCGUGUUAGUUCCUUAAGGUCUAUUGUAUACUUUUUACUCAAUAUAUUUUUCCUGCUUUCACAUGGAAUACAGAUCUUAUGAUGAUUUAUGAACAUGUUCAUUUUAAUCAAGCACAAUCAUACAUAAACCGUAAACAUUAGUUGUGGGGUUUUGGAUUAUGUCAUGCAAGGAUCCUUUUAUACCUUCCAUGUGCAAAUGAUUAACCCAAUGAAGUCAUUGAAGCUUUUAAUGAUUAUGAAUCUUUCUUUUCCCAGUAACAUUAUCAAAUGAACCAUGAGAGUGGAUAGCUCAUGUUUGAGCCUCGCACUCAUUAAUUUGCUUAUACGUAAGCUGCAUCUUGCAUUGCAGAAGGGAGAUGAUUCAGUGGAUCCUGACAGAUUUUUAAAGGAAAAUGCGAGAUCUUUUUUUGUCAUCAGUGUUUUAAAUCAUCAACUAAUUGUUGUCAUCCAUGGUAUGCAACUUCACGCCCAAGGUAUACAACUGGCUUUCGGAGAGCAUUUUUACGACAUGCUUUCUUGUUGAUCCAUAACUAGUUAAAAAACAAAAUCAUGGGGAAAAGUAGGCAUAUCUCUGAAUAGAAUGCUUGUAUUUUUAGAAUAAACGUUGUCUAUUAUAUUUCUCUCUUUUUAGCAAGCUUGUAAAAAAAAGGAGACAGACAAUAUGGGUAAGUAAAAAUUAAACUACACUCAUCUCCCAUGAAACUUGGAUCAUUGCAUCUAGCUGUGAUAUAUGCUACAUUAACCAAGUUUCACCUUCACCUUCAUAUAUGUUCAACACUGCAUAGCCAACAUAUGUUAGGGAUACACUUAAAUGGAUAAUCUGAACUACCCUAUAAAAUGAGUUGCUAGUUGCUAGUUGUUACUAGUUCAUGUUCUCUAGGAACUUAGUAGAUCAGUGCAUAUUUUGAUUGAAUACUAGCAGUUUUGACAUGGUAGCAUCUUAUUUCUUUUUAUAUUCUUCAUUUUAUUUUAUUUUUUCAUUUUUGGAAUUCAAGUAGGAAUAUCUGUUGUACUGUCAAUUGUGAUAUACUUUCUGGUAAUUUAAAGUGUGUACCAGAGUAACCAACCUUCAAGCAUAUGUUUUACCAAGUGCUGGAACAUAGUUUUCAAUUUCUUAUUAGAUUUAUUCCAAAUUAAAACAAAGAAGCAGUCCAACAAAAAGAUGAAUUCAAAAUUUUCAAAAACCUAGAAAGCCGAAAUGUUACAGGGGACUUUCUUGAUGGUGACAAUUGAUUCGAGGGAAUAUGAAAAAAUAAAGGUGAUGUAUUCCCAAUCUUCCAAUGUGAUAUUGAAUGUGUCUAAAGUUUAGUGUUUCACCUACUGUUUACCACUCCCUUUGCCUUUAUUUCCUUUGUUCCAGAUUCUCCCCUUGUCUUCCUGAUAAUGUCAGGCGAAACAACCUCCC
rnacentral:lncRNA from 1 species